rnacentral:rRNA from 1 species
AUGGAGGCGGCCACUCUGACGAUAGGCUCCCGGCGCCUGGCCUCCGCCGCCGCUCCGGCUUGGAAUGGCACCCGCCGUGGUACAGCGGCCGCAACCCCGCAGCGUCCCGGAGCAAAGCUUCCGCGGCGGCUCCGCGCGCUGCCGCCGGAGCUGAGCGAGAUCCUCGCGCCCAAGCUGGUGCCCGGCUCGCCCGCCGAUACCGGCGACGUCUCCUCGCUCAUCCCGAUCAGUGCCGUCAUGCUGCUCUUCUACUUCGUGUCCAACUGGGUGUUCCCGGCGGUGGUCAUGCGGGGGAUGCAGCCCACCGCCGAGGACGAAGCCGCCGCUGCAGAAGCAGAAUCCAUGGCGUCGUCGUCGCAGCUGCAGCGGGGGGAUGCCGUCGACGGUAAGAUCCGGCGCAAGGUCAAGAGGAAGAAGAGCAGAAAAGCCGCCACGGAAGCGUAA